UGCUGUUGAAAUUUUCAUUUUGUUUUAUUCUGUAAUUGGAACUGAUUGAUGCCGUUGCAGAAUCAACUAGUAGCAUGAAAUUACUCCCUUCAAAUUUUUAUUUUAUUUUAUUUUUUGGUAAAAAGACAAAAUAUACUGUUAUGGCCGAAAAGACUGACCUCAAUAAUUUUCGAAGCAUGCCUGGUUCAGGAUCUACGUAUACAGGAAGGACUUUCUACUUUUAAGAACAUCAUUCAAGGUGAUUUUAUUACAUUAAAUACUAAAUUUCAUUAUAUACAUUUCGUUCUUUUUAUUUUAUUGGAACUAGGGUGUACAUAAAAUCGACCAAACCAACUAAAUCAGUUUGGAUUGAUACGGUUUUAUCGAAUUUUUUAAAUUUUUUAAUUAUAUAAAUAUUAUUUUAAUCUUAAUUUGAUAAAUUUUUAAUAAAUAAAUAUAUGUUAGUAAAAAUUACAAAUUGAUAAAUAUAUGAUCUAUUUAAAAUAUUCUAAUGGAAGAAUUUUCUUAGUAAUACAUCAUAGUUAUUUUUUAGUCGUACGAAAAUAAUUUUACAUUGAUAUACACUUUCAAGCUUACAACAACAAACACAGCUUAAUCUCAUACGUGGGGUCUGGAGAGGGUAGUGGGUACGUAGCCUUACUCUAUCAUAUAAAGGAAGAGAGGAUGUUUCUGAUAGACCCUCAGUUUAAGGAACUCUAAAGAUAAAGCAACAAGCAAUAACAGAAAUAAUAUAAUAAGGUAAUGAAAGCGAGUGACAUAACAAGUAAUAAAGAACUAGGAAUAAAAUAAUACACGAAUAGUACUAGUACCACUGGUGAACCUAGGAGGAACUCACAACUAUCUGUCAACACAUUACCUUGAUCUUCAACCUCCACAUCUUCCUAUCACUAGUCAUGUCCUCGGUUAUGUGAAGCAUUGACAUGUCCUGCCUAAUGUAACGACACAGCUGCUCAUUUUUGAAAUUUACUCCCUGAUCCCCCAUUAACUGUUCCCCAUAAGUUUAUUUCUGCUAAUUUUAUUUAAUUUUUCGGGACGUUCGAUAUUGGGCUUCGGAGAGUUUUGGGAUACUUAGUCCCUAAAUGAGAGAUUAAUUGUUGGAAAAUGGUCCGUAGUCGGAACAGUGUGAAGACGACCUCGGAAUGGAAAACCGAUGGUUCUGCUAGCUUCGCUAGGUGAUUUUGUGGUUGGGAGCGUGUUCGGAGUGUAUUUUGGAAGUGCGUAGCUCAUUUAGGCUUGAAAUGCCGAAGUUUGUAUUUUUGAAGUUUACGGUCCGAUAGUGAAUUUUUUAUACGAGGGUUGGAAUGGAAUUUCAAAAGUUGCAUUAGUUUCGUCAUGUCAUUGGGGAUGUGUGUACAAAAUUUAAGGUUAUUCGGACGUGUUUUGAUAGGUUUUUAAUUGAAAGUGUAUUUGGAUAACAAUUAAAGUUCUUAAGCUUGAAUCUGUGACUAAAUCGGGUUCCCGGUAUUGUUUUAAGUGUUUUAUGGAUUGGUACACGUUUGAAUGAGCUAUUAGGUGGUAUUUGUGCUUUUGCUUGAGGUCCCAGGGGGGCCUCGGGAUGAUUUCGGGUGGUCGACAGAAAGAUUUAAAGUUGAAUGGAUUGCUGAAGGUCUGUCUACUAUCAUAACCGCACCUGCGGUUGGGGUUCCGUAGGUGCGGAGCCGCAUAAGCGGCCGGCUCAACGCAGAUGCAGAAGUUGGGAUCUUUCAAUUUAUCGCAGGUGCGGAUGAUUUACCACAGAAGCGGUUUGCACAUGCGAGAUCUUUUACCACAGAAGUGGGACUUGGCCCUUAAGUGAAAGCUGCAGAAACGGCUCGUGGUCCGCAGAAGCGGUCCCUUGUUCGCAGAUGCGGAAACCACUAUUCAGAUAUAAAAAAUUCGAGGGUUGAGUUUCAAAGUUAAAGAAAUGAAUUGAGAGUGCGAUUUUGAGAGGGUUUUGAAGAAGAGAUUAUUGGGUAACAUUUGUUUGAUCCCUUCUAGUUAUAUUUCAUCAUUUUAUAGUUAAAUCCAUCAUUAGAAUUGGAAUUUAGGAUUAAAAAAAUUAGAUAAUUUGGGUAAAACUUCAUUGGCUAAACUAUUGAGUUUUGAGUGAGCAUUUGACCUCCGAUUUGGGAGAUUUUUAUAUGGUUAGACUCGUGAGAGUACGAGGGUUCUGAAAAUAUAAAAUUUAUUCGAUUCCAAGAUGUUGGCUUGAGGGGUAUUUUUGUUAUUUAACCUAUUUUCACGUCAUAGCUUUAAAUUUAAUUGUGAAACCAAUGGUUUGCAAUAUUAUUUACGAUAUGUAAUUGAAUUGACUAGAUUUGGGUCAUUUGGAGUCUGAUACUCGUGGCAAAGGCGAGCUUCCUAGUUGAUUAUUUAGCCGGUUCGAGGUAAAUGGCUUGUCUAAUUUUGUGCAGGGGACCUUCUCCCCUUAGGACUUGUUUGAGUGCCUUGUACGUGAGGUGACGAGCGUGUACUUGUGUUAAUUGUUGAACAUCCAACUUUUACUUAAAAUGAUCAAGUUUCUAUUUCUUUCUUUCUUGUUUUGUUACUUGCCAUAUAGCAUGUGAUAGCCUAAAAAAUCUUUAUAGCUGACUUAAUUGGUUUAAUUGCUUAAUUCUCUUGUUGCAUUACGUGAAGCAUGUUAGGUUAGAUUCCUUGUUGCCUUGGUGUUUUAUUCCAUUUCCGAUUAUUCUCUGUCAGUGGUUGCAUAUUUAUAUUUGGGACUACGAAUGUGGGACUCCGGUAGCUCCCUCUUGUUUAUUUACUUUGGGACAGCGGGUUCGAUUUCCGAUAUAUCCCACUGCAUAUUUACUUUGGGAUUACGGGUUAGAUUUUUGGUAGAUCCCCUUGCACAUUGAUAGUUGGACUAUGGGACAGUAUCCUGGGAGAUCCUUCAUAGAUACUUAUGUGAUGGAGUACGGGACAAUAUCCCGGGAGAUCCACUGGACAGUUGAAAAAGGACUACAGGACUUCAUCUUGGGAGAUCCUCAUAGCAUCAUUAAUAAUGAGUUGUACUUUUUCGUGUUCAUUUCUUAGUUCGAUUAUUUGUUGUUGACUUGUAGAUUCUGUCUUAUUUCACUAUUGUUUACAUUAUUCUACCUAUUCUCAUACUGCACAUUAUUAUUAUUAUGUUUUUCUCAGUAUGGCUUUGACCUUCCUCGUCACUACCCGACCGAGGUUGGGCUUGGCACUUAUUGAGUACUGUUAUGGUACACUCACGCCUCUUAUGUACAUGUUUUUUCAUGCGCAGAUUCAGGUACCUCUACUUAGGCGCACUAUCAGUGUGGCAGGAGGACUACGAAGACUUCGAGGUAGAUCUGAUGCGUCCGCAGACUGAAGAGUCUCCCUCUUUACUCUAUCUUUACUACUUAGUUUUCUUUUCUUUCUAUUGUUAGACAUUCUGGAGUUUAGAGCCUUUAUUAUACACCUCUAUAGCUCUGUUGCCAAUGAGUUUCCGGGUUUUGGGAAUUGUUUUAGACUUGUGAUGUUGAGUUGUAUGUGCCGAGCGGCAUUCAGUACAAUUUCCUUUCUAGCUAUUAAAUUUGGUUUUCUCUGUUUUUCCGCAA
rnacentral:lncRNA from 1 species